rnacentral:lncRNA from 1 species
UUCAGCAACCAACCAGCGCGAUCUGACUCAUUCGCGUCAAAACGGAAACUAGGUUUCGGUAUAAAACGCGGAUAGCUGACGUGUCUCACCAUCAGAUCGACGCCUCUGUGUCAGUAGACUGGUUGACGACGUUAAUCAAACAGGCAAGGACAAUGAAGGUCAUCAUAUUCGUUCUACUAGUUGCUGUCUUCCUACAGACGUGCUACGCUGCCUCAUCUUCUACCGCCGCUACAACUACAACUACAGCAAAGGCAGGGACCACGGCCAAGGCAGGGAACACGACCACACCAGCUGGUGCAGAGGGACUGACGUCACAGACCGUGAUGACGUUGAUUAUAGGAGCCGCUAUUUCGGCUGUUGUGUUUUCGCACUGAUCCUUUCUUCGUGAAGUGUGGAGAUUUAUGAAGUCCAGAUUGACGUCAAUGAAAUACCGCAUUCCUUGGAGCAAUGAUUUGAUGACUCUGGACUGAUUCUCUCUUUAGGGCGGUUCUACAAAUGGAUACGAGUUGGGAAGAGGGUGCGAGCUAUGUUAUAAAUCAGCAUUUCACUUAAUCACAGAACAAAAAUUUAAUCAUUUGCAGUCAUCCAUGGAAUAUAUUCAUAUCUGAUAAAGUUCGGAUGAGAGUACGGCGAACUGCAACAGGCACAACAUGUAGGAUGGAAAUCGUAAUAUCGCAAAGGAAUUUGAUAAAAGAAAACACCUCCAAAACACCAUACACCCAAACAGAUAAUAAGAUAGAAAUAAAAUAAUAAAUAACAUAUAUUCGUUAGGAAAUGAAAUCUAUUUGCACUCUCUAAUUAACAAACGAGAGAAAUAAAAUAAUGAAGUAAUAUGACAAGUCAAAUCAUAUAUGCGUGUUCACACCAUACACCUGAAUCCAUUGUCCACAAAGACAGAUGAUAUGCUUGCCAAAACCCUUCUCUUCCCCAAAUGUUUUCAUUUACAGGAUUCGUCCUUAGCGCUUUACACAUUUUACUUCAUCUUUAUAAAUACACCAACCUUAAUGCUUUUUAAAACUGUAGCUUACUUCUAAAAUGAAACUGUAUUCAGUGUCGGAACCAGAAGGUAUGUGUGUUAUCUCCCCUGUUUCAGUGAUGAACAGAACUCUAUAGUCAGUGGCGGAAUCAGAAUGGGUGUGUGCUAUCUCGCCUGUUUCAGUGAUGAACACGUUGUAUUCGUGGUAUUUCGUGACAAAUUCAAUAUGCAAAACAUAUUAUGGGUAUAGUUUAUCACGGUUGUGUUUUAUUUUAUAUACUUAUCUUUGAAUUUUAGAGAUACUAAAAAUGUUUUUAAAAAAAGACUUCGAAAUUAUCAUCCAUGUUGGGCUCUGAGUAUAUAUGUUAUUUACAAGAAGAUGAAGCAAGAUCUGGUACACUAAACAUUCGCAUGCCGUGGCAUCAUAAAUACUGUAACAACUAACACUGAAAAUAAAGUAUUUAAAUGUA